CAGUCGCCGCGGUAAUACGAAGGUCCCGAGCGUUGUUCGGAAUCACUGGGCGUAAAGGGAGCGUAGGCGGCGUGGUAAGUCAGAUGUGAAAUCCCGGGGCUCAACCCCGGAACUGCAUCCGAUACUGCCAUGCUAGAGGAUUGGAGAGGUAGCUGGAAUUCUUGGUGUAGCAGUGAGAUGCGUGGAGAUCAAGAGGAACACUCGUGGCGAAAGCGAGCUACUGGACAAUAACUGACGCUGAGGCUCGAAGGCCAGGGUAGCGAAAGGGAUUAGAUACCCCAGUAGUCCCUGUCUCUUAUAC
rnacentral:rRNA from 1 species